AUUGAACGCUGGCGGCAUGCCUUACACAUGCAAGUCGAACGGCAUCGCGGGAACGCUUGCUUUCCUGGCUGCGCGUGGCGCACGGGUGAGUCACACAUCUAAACUUACCGUCUGGUGGGGGUUAACCCGUCGAAAGACGGCCUAAUACCGCAUACGCUCUUCGGCGCAAAGCACGGUACCUUUGGGCCUUGUGCUUGUCGCUCGUCCAUUGUUCCAUUAGCUAGUUGGUGGGGUAAAGGCUUACCAAGGCGACGAUCGGUAGCGGGUCUGAGAGGACGAUCCGCCACACUGGAACUGAGACACGGCCCAGACUCCUACGGGAGGCAGCAGUGGGGAAUCUUGCGCAAUGGGGGAAAGCCUGAUCCAGCAAUGCCGCGUGAGUGAAGAAGGCCUUCGGGUUGUAAAGCCCUUUCGGCAGGGAAGAAAACGGGGGGGAGAAUAACCCUACUGGAUGACGGUACCUAAAGAAGAAGCACCGGCUAACUACGUG
rnacentral:rRNA from 1 species